ensembl:lncRNA
AGUCAGCAUCCUAUUAGCAUCUAUGAAGGGCAACUCCAAGGCGCCCAGAGUCAAAUCUCAGAAGAGAAAACAGAGAUUCAGAGUACGUCACAGAAUUCUCAUUCCCAGAGGAAAAUGCCUAUCUUUCUCAGCAUUCAAGAAACCAGCUGCCCUCCCAUUUCCUGAGGUCCACUGCACCCCUUGACUGUCCUUCAUGUGAAAUAAGGAGAUGGAGGUGGGCCUGGAAUGGACAGCUUCCUUCACUCAGUACACGUGUUGAGCCCCCUGUUUUGGCAGCUAGGCACAAGGAGGAGAAGGACUUCAACAUUAGGUUUGACCUGGUUUUGAUUCCCACCCCUGCCACUGGGUGAUCUUGGCAGUCUGAGGCAAGGAUUAAAGUGCUGGGACAUCUAGUUGGAGGUGGAAGCCAAGGAAGGCCAAGCUUUGCCCACUAAAAGUGCUUAGAAGCAAUUACAGCUUCAUGGCAGUGAGAAACCCUAGUACCCAAAUUGUGGCUUCUAAAGACCAUUCCUCUCCAAAAGGAACACAGACUCCUCUGAAGAGAGGAUGAUGAUCUGGACCAAAGAAUUUCCAGAGACUUCUUGUACCAAAAUGGAGGGAAGCUAUCAAAGAGUGUUGAAGAUACAAUAAAAGGACCCAUGGCAAAUGUCUUAAAAUAUGCUGCAUAUAAAACCUAUGUGCUCAAUGUGAUAUCCAGUAGAAGAAUAAAUAACCUCAGCACUCAGUGUUCACCUCUAUUAAAGGGACCAAAUCAUUUAUCCUGCCUUUCCUCAAUGAAAAAGAAUUCAGAGUAAACAGAUGUUCACGAUUUGUCAGCACAAUGGGUCCAUACAGAAGAAUUCCAGCCAAUACAUAGGAAAGGAAGAGAGAACUAGAAAAAGUGCCCAUCUUCAACUCCUAACAAAAUAACUGGUUUAAGCAAAGAUUGUCUGUCGAUGAAACCAUCAGCUGAAAGUCUAAAGGAAAUCUUGGAAUAGAGAUAUUAGACUGUUGCUACCUGAAAAUUUUGAUUAAAUUAGCAUCAUAAAAAUGGUACAGUCAGACUUUCUGUGCCUCCUAAUGUAACACAGCAUGAAGUAUAAAGCACCAACAAUGAAAUGCUCUUUGGGAAAAACCUUGGCCUUGAAUCUCAGCAAGACUUAACUAGCUUCUGGCUUACUAUAAAUAGAAAGGACACAGAAAUCAGUUAAAUGACACUACAAUGAUGCAAAUAGACACAUUCAGAAUGCAGGAUUUUCUAUAAGGC